rnacentral:lncRNA from 1 species
GAGGAGACUGCAAGCGUCGGGAUGCCCAGGCCCCACGGAGGCCCCCUACCUGCAGAACCAAGAAGAACUGGACACCUUUCUGGGACUGCAGCACCAGGGUGGCUACCCUUCCCGGCUGGGUCAGGAUUUCUGAAACUGGUAAGAGAAAAGGCUGAGAGGAGCUGGCUGGACCCUUCCGGGUUUGUUUAUGUCUCCUUGGGAGAGGGUGGGGGUGGGGUUGCAGGCAGCAGCUGCCCCCCUCCCAACCCAGCCGGCCUGCCCUGUGCCAGGAGGGCAGGGAGUCCUGGCACAGCUAUUGUUCACUUGCACAAAUGCCUGUCUGUUUGCAUCGCUACCCCCCUCGCUGUCUUUCUGCUUGUCUCUCUCUCCUGGCCUGACAGGUGUGGCCGGGUAGGGGGCAGGCUGGGGUCCAGGAUGCUUGGGUCUCAGGGUUCGUAACCUGAUUUAUUCCCUGUGGCCCUUAGCACCCCUCUUCUGUUUCACCCAUACCCACCCCCGUUGCCAGUGUCUCAUCUUCAUUCACUAAGCAAGCAUUUAUUAAGUGCCUUUGUGUGUGCAGUGAUGUCUUUCUGUGUUGUUUCUGGCUUUGGCAUUAGUGUUUCCAUUUGGCUGCCUUCCCCUCAGCCUCCUGUCUUCAUCUUGUCCCGGGAAGCUCAUAAAGGAGCAGGGCCUGGCUGAGACCACCCCAAGCCCUCUUCUCAGUCCCACUGCCAGCAAUCCCUCACCUCUUCAUUUCCCGGCCCUGUAGCUCCUCCUCCAGGACUCAGUGCCCUUCAUAGCCAACGGCACCUCUGCUGUCCAGGGGCUGAGCCACAGGUGACUCGAAUCCCAGUGGAACACUCCACGGGCUCUCUGGUCACUAUUACAAAGGGUGUGGACAGAGGUGUAACCACCUUGGGGAAGGGGCUGCUGCCAGGUGCAGCUGGAGGAGAGGUCAUUCUGAGUACUCUGUGACUCUCCCAGAAGUCUUGAUUUGGGCAUAACUGAGAGAGAAGCAAAGGCAGAUGAGAGAGCUGGGCACGGUGACUCGCACCCGUAAUCCUAGCAUUUUGGAAGACCAAGGCAGCCGGAUCACAUGAGCUCAGGAGUUUGAGACAAGCCUGGGCAACAUAGCGAGCCCUCAUCUCUACAAAACUACUAAGUUUUAAAAAUCUAUUAUUAAAAAAAGAAAAAGAUGAGAGCUUAGGGCUUGCUUGGAGAAGCUCUACCUUGCCUGGGUAGAUCUGCCUGGCCUUGCUGCCCGCUGGGAGCACAGGAAGCCAAAGUCCUAGCCUUGGCAUUGCCUUCCCCUUCAUGUACGUCACUGUUUCCUCAUCCCUUAGCCUGGGAGACAAAGUGGAGAGAAGAAGGGAGACUGUGUCUGCCUUUGAGCUUUUCAGUAGAGAUCCACAAUGCCCUCUGCCAUUGCUCCCAUCUUUCUUUCUUUCUUUCUUUUUUU